rnacentral:rRNA from 1 species
CCUACGGGUGGCAGCAGUGAGGAAUAUUGGUCAAUGGACGAGAGUCUGAACCAGCCAAGUAGCGUGAAGGAUGACUGCCCUAUGGGUUGUAAACUUCUUUUAUAUGGGAAUAAAAUGUUCCACGUGUGGGAUUUUGUAUGUACCAUAUGAAUAUGGAUCGGCUAACUCCGUGCCAGCAGCCGCGGUAAUACGGAGGAUCCGAGCGUUAUCCGGAUUUAUUGGGUUUAAAGGGAGCGUAGGUGGAUUGUUAAGUCAGUUGUGAAAGUUUGCGGCUCAACCGUAAAAUUGCAGUUGAAACUGGCAGUCUUGAGUACAGUAGAGGUGGGCGGAAUUCGUGGUGUAGCGGUGAAAUGCUUAGAUAUCACGAAGAACUCCGAUUGCGAAGGCAGUUCACUGGACUGCAACUGACACUGAGGCUCGAAAGUGUGGGUAUCAAACAGGAUUAGAUACCCGUGUAGUC